UACGGAGGGUGCAAACGUUGCUCGGAAUCAUUGGGCGUAAAGCGCACGUAGGCGGCACAGCAAGUCGGGUGUGAAAGCCCUCGGCUUAACCAAGGAAGUGCAUCCGAAACUGCAGUGCUUGAGUACUUAAGAGGAUCGCGGAAUUCCCGGUGUAGAGGUGAAAUUCGUAGAUAUCGGGAGGAACACCAGUAGCGAAGGCGGCACUCUGGGCCGGUACUGACGCUGAGGAGCGAAAGCGUGGGGAGCAAACAGG
rnacentral:rRNA from 1 species